CUUGCUCUUGAGUCACUUAUUCUCUUCACUUUCUCUACCCUUUCCUCUAGCUUCUUUCCAUAGUGGGAAGGCCUUCUGAGCUGAGAGGAUAUUCCAAACAUUUCCACCAUUACCAGAACAUCAAACUCCAUUGCAUCCAUCUAGAACCACUGCAUCAAAACUCUUGUCCGCUGCAUCUCUCUGUUUUUCAACUUGCUUGCUGUUUGGAGUUACUUCACUUGAUUCCAGACCUUGGCAAGUUUCCAUCAAGUGGUAUCAUGAGUUGUGGUCGUCCACGCAUCCAUAGCUAAGUUUUCCUUCCAUUUUCCAUUUCAAUUUUCAUUAUAUUCGUGUUGUUUGUUUUUUAGUCACUGUUUCAUUUUUUUGUUUCU
rnacentral:lncRNA from 1 species